rnacentral:rRNA from 1 species
UACGUAGGGUGCAAGCGUUGUCCGGAAUUAUUGGGCGUAAAGAGCUCGUAGGCGGUCUGUCGCGUCUGCUGUGAAAACUCAGGGCUUAACCCUGAGCUUGCAGUGGGUACGGGCAGACUAGAGUGCGGUAGGGGAGACUGGAAUUCCUGGUGUAGCGGUGAAAUGCGCAGAUAUCAGGAGGAACACCGAUGGCGAAGGCAGGUCUCUGGGCAUUAACUGACGCUGAGGAGCGAAAGCACGGGGAGCGAACAGG